CCUACGGGUGGCAGCAGUGGGGAAUAUUGGGCAAUGGGCGAAAGCCUGACCCAGCAACGCCGCGUGAAGGACGAAGGCUUUCGGGUUGUAAACUUCUUUUGACAGGGAAGAGCAGAAGACGGUACCUGUCGAAUAAGCCACGGCUAACUACGUGCCAGCAGCCGCUGUAAUACGUAGGGGGCAAGCGUUGUCCGGAUUCAUUGGGUUUAAGGGGUGUGUAGGCGAGCAUUUAAGCCGGUGGUAAAAUUUCGGGGCUCAACCCCGGCCUGCCAUCGGAACUGGGUGCCUUGAGUGGGCGAGAAGUAGGCGGAAUGCGUGGUGUAGCGGUGAAAUGCAUAGAGAUCACGCAGAACACCGAUUGCGAAGGCAGCAGACGGGCGCGCGACUGACGCUGAGGCACGAAAGUGCGGGUAUCGAACAGGAUUAGAUACCCCUGUAGUC
rnacentral:rRNA from 1 species